rnacentral:misc_RNA from 1 species
GACUUGGUGGAUGAUGAUGAUGAUAACGUUGAGCUUCUCCGAACCAUUGUUACCAUGGCCGAUUUGAUGGCUCUUCUUCAGCAGAAGCAAGACCUGUGGCUGAGCAAACAAGUAAAACAAGAAAAACAGAGAGUUGUUUCGUCAUCAUUUCAGUGAAGAUACAUUAAAGCUAAAAGCAAUUUGGAGAAGAAAGCAGUGAAGAGAAAUGUGGAAUUUGGUACCCUUUUAUAGUUAAGGGCUAUUU